UGGGGAAUUUUGGACAAUGGGGGCAACCCUGAUCCAGCAAUGCCGCGUGUGUGAAGAAGGCCUUCGGGUUGUAAAGCACUUUUGUCCGGGAAGAAAUCGCACCUGAUAAUACCGGGUGUGGAUGAUGGUACCGGAAGAAUAAGGACCGGCUAACUACGUGCCAGCAGCCGCGGUAAUACGUAGGGUCCAAGCGUUAAUCGGAAUUACUGGGCGUAAAGCGUGCGCAGGCGGUUGUGCAAGACCGAUGUGAAAUCCCCGGGCUUAACCUGGGAAUUGCAUUGGUGACUGCACGGCUAGAGUGUGUCAGAGGGGGGUAGAAUUCCACGUGUAGCAGUGAAAUGCGUAGAGAUGUGGAGGAAUACCGAUGGCGAAGGCAGCCCCCUGGGAUAACACUGACGCUCAUGCACGAAAGCGUGGGGAGCAAACAGG
rnacentral:rRNA from 1 species